UCCGAAUUGGUGUAAUGGUUAACAUUCUAGAUUCUCAUUCUGGAGCUCAGGGUUCGAUUCCCUGAUUCGGAG